UAUGUGAUCGUCUCUCGCAUAUCAAUAAGCGGAGGAAAAGAAACUAACAAGGAUUCCCCUAGUAACGGCGAGUGAAGCGGGAAGAGCUCAAAUUUGAAAUCUUAAAGGGUUUCCCUUUACGAAUUGUAGUUUAAAGAAGUGUUUUCUGUUGAGGUUUUGGUAAAGGUUCUUUAGGAAUAGGACAUCAUAGAGGGUGAGAAUCCCGUAUUUGACCUUUACUUUCAACUUUGUGAUACACUUUCAAAGAGUCGGAUUGUUUGGGAAUGCAGUCCAAAAUGGGUGGUAAAUUUCAUCUAAAGCUAAAUAUUGGCGAGAGACCGAUAGCGAACAAGUACCGUGAGGGAAAGAUGAAAAGAACUUUGAAAAGAGAGUUAAACAGUACGUGAAAUUGUCAAAAGGGAAGCGUUUGACACCAGUGUUGUUUUUCUGAAAAUCAAUUAAAGAACUGUUUAUGCUAAGCUGUUUAGACUUUAUCAGCUAACUGUUUAGUUUUGAGCUUUUCUUUAAUGCACUUUUCAGUUAACAAGUCAACAUCAAUUUCUUUUGCUGUAAAAAAGCUUGAGGAAGGUGGCUUGAGAUUCGUCUUAAGUGUUUAUAGCCUCUUGCCUAGUGCAGUCGGAGAGAUUGAGGUCUGCAGCGUAGAUCCUUCGGGGCUAAAUGCAUUUGUGCUAAGUUAUAGCAUUUUAUAGACAACUUGUUGACUAUGAUUUGUCUUGUAGCUUACUCGCUUAUGUUAUUUUACCUACGCUUAGGAUGUUGAGUAGCGACAUACGCAC
rnacentral:rRNA from 1 species